AAUCAACGCUGGCGGCGUGCCUAACACAUGCAAGUCGAGCGCGAAAGCGGGGCAACCCGCAAGUAGAGCGGCGAACGGGUGAGUAACGCGUGGGUGAUCUACCUCCGAGUGGGGAACAACAUCGGGAAACUGGUGCUAAUACCGCAUGACAUCCUCAGGUCACACUGAGGAUCAAAGCCGGGGACCGUAAGGCCUGGCGCUUGGAGAGGAGCCCGCGUCCGAUUAGCAGUCGGCGGGGUAACGGCCCACCAAGGCGACGAUCGGUAGCCGGCCUGAGAGGGCGGACGGCCACACUGGGACUGCGACACGGCCCAGACUCCUACGGGAGGCAGCAGUGGGGAAUUUUUCGCAAUGGGCGCAAGCCUGACGAAGCAACGCCGCGUGGGGAUGAAGGUCUUCGGAUUGUAAACCCCUGUCGACCGGGACGAAAGUACCCGACCUAACACGUCGAAUAUUGACUGUACCGGUGGAGGAAGCCACGGCUAACUCUGUGCCAGCCGCCGCCGUAAU
rnacentral:rRNA from 1 species